AACGAACGCUGGCGGCAGGCCUAACACAUGCAAGUCGAACGCCGUAGCAAUACGGAGUGGCAGACGGGUGAGUAACACGUGGGAACAUACCCUUCGGUUCGGAAUAACUCAGGGAAACGUUAGAGCUAAUACCGGAUACGUCCGCGAGGAGAAAGAUUCAUCGCCGGAGGAUUGGCCCGCGUCUGAUUAGCUUGUUGGUGAGGUAACGGCUCACCAAGGCGACGAUCAGUAGCGGUCUGAGAGGAUGAUCAGCCA
rnacentral:rRNA from 1 species